AAGUCGUAACAAGGUUUCCGUAGGUGAACCUGCGGAAGGAUCAUUACCAAAGUUUAUAUACUUACCCCUUUUGUGAACCGAGUCCAAGUCCUUGGGGGAGAUGUAGUUUUUGAAUGAGUAGGUUCUCCUCUCGUUUUUAAUCUCUCUCCCCCGGCAGUGUUAACUGCCAUGCGCUUGCGUGUGGCGUGUUUGCACUUGCAUUAUGUUUAACAACAUGUAUUUAGUUUAAACGCUUUGUUGUAAUACAGCAUUCUCUUUUUGAGAAAUCGAAAAGAUAUGACAACUUUUAACGGUGGAUCUCUUGGCUCGU
rnacentral:misc_RNA from 1 species